AUCGAACGCUAGCGGGAUGCCUUACACAUGCAAGUCGAACGGAGUGGCGAACGGGUGAGUAAUGUAUCGGAACGUGCCCAGUAGCGGGGGAUAACUACGCGAAAGCGUAGCUAAUAACGCAUACUAUUGGAGCGGCCGUUAUCGGAUUAGCUAGUUGGGGGGGUAAAGGCUCACCAAGGCGACGAUCCGUAGCUGGUUUGAGGGGACGACCAGCCACAUUGGGACGGAGACACGGCCCAGACGCCGACGGAGGGCAGCAGUGGGGAAUUUUGGACAAGGGGGGAAACCCUGAUCCAGCCAUCCCGCGUGUGCGAUGAAGGCCUUCGGGUUGUAAAGCACUUUUGGCAGGAAAGCGGUACCUGCAGAAUAAGCACCGGCUAACUACGUGCCAGCCGCCGCGGUAAUAC
rnacentral:rRNA from 1 species